rnacentral:tRNA from 1 species
GGAGGGAUGGCCGAGUGGACGAAGGCGCACGACUCGAAAUCGUGUGACCCGCAAGGGUCCGGGGGUUCGAAUCCCUCUCCCUCCGCCA